rnacentral:rRNA from 1 species
GACGAACGCUGGCGGCGUGCCUAAUACAUGCAAGUAGGACGCAGUUGCGAACGGGGGAGUAACGCGUAGGUAACUGCCUAUUAGAGGGGGAUAACUAUUGGAAACGAUAGCUAAUACCGCAUACUAGUAGAUGGACCUGCGUUGGAUUAGAUAGUAGGUAGGGUAAUGGCCUACUUAGGCAACGAUACAUAGCCGACCCGAGAGGUGGAUCGGCCCCACUGGUACUGAGACACGACCCAGACACCUACGGAAGGCAGCAGGACUGACUCUUUCGCAAUGAGGGGAACCCUGACCUAGCGACGCCGCGUGAGUGAAGAGGGUUGUCGGAUCGUAGCGCUCUGUUGUUAAGGAAGCGGUACUUAACCAGAAAUGGACGGCUAACUACGUGCCAGCAGCCGCGGUAAUUC